rnacentral:rRNA from 1 species
CCGCACGAGUGAGUAACGCGUAUGCAACUUACCUAUCAGGAGGGGAUAACCCGGCGAAAGUCGGACUAAUACCGCAUGAAGCAGGGGCCCCGCAUGGGGAUAUUUGCUAAAGAUUCAUCGCUGAUAGAUAGGCAUGCGUUCCAUUAGGCAGUUGGCGGGGUAACGGCCCACCAAACCGACGAUGGAUAGGGGUUCUGAGAGGAAGGUCCCCCACAUUGGUACUGAGACACGGACCAA